rnacentral:rRNA from 1 species
GUAGGGAGCGAGCGUUGUCCGAAUUUACUGGGCGUAAAGCGCGCGUAGGCGGGUUUUUAAGUUGGGGGUGAAAUGCCGAGGCUUAACCUCGGAACUGCCUCCAAAACUGGGAGCCUUGAGGUUUGGAGAGGGAAGUGGAAUUCCAGGUGUAGCGGUGAAAUGCGUAGAUAUCUGGAGGAACACCCGUGGCGAAGGCGGCUUCCUGGCCAUAUCCUGACGCUGAGGUGCGAAAGCUAGGGGAGCGAACGGGAUUAGAUACCCCGGUAGUCCUAGCCGUAAACGAUGGAUACUAGGUGUUAGAGGUAUCGACCCCUCUAGUGCCGGAGCUAACGCAUUAAGUAUCCCGCCUGGGGAGUACGACCGCAAGGUUG